rnacentral:rRNA from 1 species
AUGAACGCUGGCGGCGUGCCUAACACAUGCAAGUCGAGCGGCAGCGAGGGGUGCUUGCACCCUGUCGGCGAGCGGCGGACGGCUGAGUAACGCGUGGGAACGUGCCCCAAAGUGAGGAAUAACUGCCCGAAAGGGUAGCUAAUACCGCAUAUUAUCUUCGGAUCAAUGGAUUUAUCCGCUUUGGGAGCGGCUCGCGUCGGAUUAGGUAGUUGGUGAGGUAAUGGCUCACCAAGCCGACGAUCCGUAGCUGGUCUGAGAGGAUGACCAGACAGACUGGAACUGAGACACGGUCCAGACUCCUACGGGAGGCAGCAGUGAGGAAUCUUCCACAAUGGGCGAAAGGAUGAUGGAGCAACGCCGCGUGCAGGACGAAGGCCUUCGGGUUGUAAACUGCUUUUAUAAGUGAGGAAUAUGACGGUAACUUAUGAAUAAGGAUCGGCUAACUACGUG